rnacentral:rRNA from 1 species
UACAGAGGGUGCAAGCGUUGUUCGGAAUUACUGGGCGUAAAGGGCGUGUAGGCGGCCUUGCAAGUCAGAUGUGAAAUCCCGGGGCUCAACUCCGGAAGUGCAUUUGAAACUACAAGGCUAGAGUGCUGUAGAGGAUGGCGGAAUACCCAGUGGAGAGGUGAAAUUCGUAGAUAUUGGGUAGAACACCGGUGGCGAAGGCGGCCAUCUGGGCAGCAACUGACGCUGAGGCGCGAAAGCGUGGGGAGCAAACAGG